rnacentral:tRNA from 1 species
GGUCCUGUGGUCUAGUGGUUAUGACGUCCGCUUGACGUGCGGGAGAUCCCCGGUUCGAAUCCGGGCAGGACCA